AAACUCCUGAGCUCAAGCGAUCCUCCCAUCUCAGCCUCCCAAAGCACUAGGACAACCAGCAUGAGCCACUGUGCCCAACCCCUAUUCUAAGUUUAAAGGACAAGCAGGACUUUUUCUCAAGUCCCAGAGUAGCGCACCCCAGUCCCAACACCAGGACUGAGCGUGCACCCCACUUCUAGCAUCAGGACUGAGCGUGCUCUGACCUGUUUCCCUGAGCUGAGGAAGGGGCCGAAGAGCUGAGAUAACUCCCAAGAAAUUUCCAGGGAGGGAUUUUCUGGGGCCAAGUCCUGGCCUGGCCCGGCCGGGCCUGUGUGAGCUCAGGGUCCUGCAGCCCCGGUGACUGGCCAUCAAUGCCCAAGCUGCAGGGACUCUCGAGGAAGUCCGAAAGACGCCACUGCCUCUCUACAGGCUGUUCUCAGGUGGCCAGGAGGACUGCAUCGCAGAGGCGGCGGGCAGUGCCUGGGGACCAGCUUCCUGCCUCUGGCUCUGACUCAGACCUGGUGGCCUUGCCCAGCCCAGCCCCACCCUCUCACUAAAUCAAAGCCAUGCCCUUCAGAUGUGGUUUCCCAAGCCUCCCUUGGUUUCAUGACUGCGAGGGACCUUCUGCAGCCACCUGGGCUGACUUCCAGAGGCUGGCACCAGGGACUCGAUUGUCACUGAGUAAGCUGUAUGCAGCCCCUGUGCCCACCAUGGCAAGACCCCUGCCGUCACCCACCUGACGGCUGCCCUGGCCCUGCCUCAGGAGGCUCCCUCGCCUCCAGCCACAUGGGGAGUCUAUAAAGAAAUAUGCACAAGCAGCAUCAUUCAGCAGGAUUUCAGACCAGAAAGAACCCUCCCGUCAGAGACUGGUGGCCAUACAAGGGUGCGCUGUGAAGCUUUCGAGACAGCAGACAGCCGGAGUCGUGAUCAGGGUGGCCAGGAAGGGAAACAACACGGUAGCAACCAGAGUGCCCUCCCAUGUGGAUUCCUUUGGUGACGAAUAAGCCAGUUGGUGUGCAGGGUGUUCACUGCAAGGCCCAGACAGGACUACAAGAGACCAGGACUGUCCUCAGUAUGUGAUCUCUCUCUCCUCUGGCGUCAGCUCUACCCAGGAACGGAUGUGAAGGCUGAAGCCCAGGCAAGGGCUCAUAGUGUGGGGACCGUGCAGCUGGAUUCAUGUCCAGUGGAAUUUGACACCAUGGCCGUCAUCAUCAUGUUUUGCCGUCAUCAGCACAGACCUCUGAGCAGAAAUGCCAGAACAAUGUGGGGCCACCCUGGAGAUUUAUUUUAUUUAUUUUUUAAAUUAAAUUAAAAUUGUUUUUAAGAGACGGGGUCUUGCUAUGUUGCACAGGUUGAUCUUGAACUUCUGGGCUCAAGCAAUCCUCCUGUCUUGGCCUCAGAGUGUUGGGAUUACAGACCUAAGCCACCGCGCCCGGCCUGGAGAUGUAUUUUAAACUGACAUCUUGGGAGAAAUAAAAGCCUUCCUUUUCCCUGUGUGUCGGUAGCGUAAGUAGUGAACUGGGAAGGAUUUCUCGGGGCCCCUGCCCUGAGCUCCUAGACCUUCUCUCCCACGCCAUGUUACACAACAAAAUCUGACUCUGAAAGAUCAAUUGGGUCCAGCUUGGGGUCUGAUGGGCAGACGGGCUUAAGCAAAGCCCCCACUUGACUUCAAGAGAGGAGCUUGGGGCCCACAUAGACAUCGAGGCCUGCACAACGUAGCUAAUUGGCCCUAACAUUUUUCUUUCUUGAAUUUUAAAUCCUUUUAGCAACAGAUUAUACAACAAAGGCUGAACUCAUUGGGGCCGUCAUUAGGCUGGCGGAAAACGCUGGCUUGGCUGUUCCUUGGCGAAUCUCCUUACCGGGUUAUUUAGAGGUGCCGUGUGUCUCUCUUGGGGACAUGCACACAAAUGUAAAGAAUGUCUCUGAGCCACAAUGACAUUUUCAUUAGCCGUGGCUCACAGAGGAGCCUUUCCUGGCAGUUCCAAUCCGGAAGGUUCUUAUCCUGCUCUCUGGCUUUCUUGCUCUGGGUGAAAGGCAGGCACCGUAAUCCAAGCCAAACACCCCGACCUUUGACCCCCACAUGGUGCUUGCUGUCAGGGUGGGGGUUCUUCUGGGGUGCAUGUCUGAGGCCUGACUGGGCUGCACACUGUCCCAGAGUGCCCUGCCUUUGGCCAGGACAAUUCACCUCAGCCCCUUUUGUCCCAACAGCUUUUGAUCUUGCCUGCCUGUCACCCAGGGAAAGAGCCUGCCUAGGCCCUGUCCCACACCUGCCUGCAAACUGACAGCCAUGGCUCCCCCAGCCCCACUGCAGCAGCCUUAACCCUUUCUCUGCCUGACCUGCAGGGCCUGCACCUACCUGUCUCCAGGGUGCUGGGGCCUCAGGCUUUGGCCAAACCAGAACAGGACUAGAAAAGAAUUCUUCUGAGGGUCCAAGGCCUCGUCCUACCGCCCCUACUGUGAGUGUGGGACUGACAAAGGAGUUUGGAGAGCAUGAGUCCCCUAGAAUGGAGCUCCCAGGAAAAGCCAAAGAGAAAGCCCCAGGCCACUGGGCCUGGACUUCGCCCCACGGCAAGGUCCCCGCCCACUGGCUAGGCAGGUGCUUUUGUGAAACUGACAUUUUCUCAGCUGCACCUCUACCGCUGCUGAUGAGCUUUUCAAUACACUCUUUCUUGUAUUGAGACAGAGCCAUGUUUUCAUAACUUGGCACUACAGCAAAGAAAGACAUGGGGUCCUUGCUGCUCAGUCCUGGUGCCCGGCCCAGUGUCUGGGGUGCCCACCUUGCCCAGCGUGUGCUGGGCAUGCAGGGGCACUUCCCUAGGGCCAAAACCUGGGAGCUUUCCUCCAGGCCAAGACGCAAGUCUCUUUGUUUUUACGGUAGCUUUGUUGAAAUGUAAUUUACAUACCAUGAAAUUCACCCGUUGAAGGCAUGCAAUUUAGAAGGUUUUAUUCAUAGAGUUGUAUGAAUUCUCUAUUUCCCAAGGCCAUUUUUUUAAAUAUAAG
rnacentral:lncRNA from 1 species